rnacentral:rRNA from 1 species
UGGGGAAUAUUGGGCAAUGGGCGCAAGCCUGACCCAGCCACGCCGCGUGAGUGAUGAAGGCCUUCGGGUCGUAAAGCUCUGUGGGGAAGGACGAAAAAACAUUGGCUAAUAUCCAAUGGCUUGACGGUACUUCCUUAGCAAGCACCGGCUAACUCUGUGCCAGCAGCCGCGGUAAUACAGAGGGUGCAAACGUUGCUCGGAAUCAUUGGGCGUAAAGCGCACGCAGGCGGCCAUCUAAGUCAGACGUGAAAUCCCCCGGCUCAACCUGGGAACUGCGUCUGAUACUGGGAGGCUAGAGUUUGGGAGAGGGAUGUAGAAUUCCAGGUGUAGCGGUGAAAUGCGUAGAUAUCUGGAGGAAUACCGGUGGCGAAGGCGGCAUCCUGGACCAAUACUGACGCUGAGGCGCGAAAGCUAGGGGAGCAAACGGGAUUAGAUACCCUAGUAGUCCCUGAGCGGGCUGGCAAGGCGCAU